rnacentral:rRNA from 1 species
UACGGAGGGGGCUAGCGUUGUUCGGAAUUACUGGGCGUAAAGCGCACGUAGGCGGCUUUGUAAGUUAGAGGUGAAAGUCCAGGGCUCAACCCUGGAAAGCGGGUGGAUACUGCCGGGCUAGAAUCCGGAAGAGGCGAGUGGAAUUCCUGGUGUAGCGGUGGAAUGCGCAGAUAUCAGGAGGAACACCAAUAGCGAAGGCAGCUCGCUGGGACGGUAUUGACGCUGAGGCGCGAAAGCGUGGGGAGCAAACGGG